CGCGUCCCCGCCCCCCCCU
rnacentral:rRNA from 2 species